rnacentral:rRNA from 1 species
CGGAGGAUGCAAGCGUUAUCCGGAUUCAUUGGGUUUAAAGGGUGCGUAGGCGGCCUUUUAAGUCAGUGGUGAAAUCCUGCCGCUUAACGGUAGAAUUGCCAUUGAUACUGAAGAGCUUGAGUACAGUUGAGGUAAGCGGAAUGUGUAGUGUAGCGGUGAAAUGCUUAGAUAUUACACAGAACACCAAUUGCGAAGGCAGCUUACUAAACUGUCACUGACGCUGAUGCACGAAAGCGUGGGGAGCGAACAGGAUUAGAUACCCUGGUAGUCCACGCCGUAAACGAUGAUCACUCGCUGUAUGCGAUACACAGUAUGCGGCCAAGCGAAAGCAUUAAGUGAUCCACCUGGGGAGUACGAUCGCAAGGUUG